rnacentral:lncRNA from 1 species
CCCACCCACUUACUUUCUUUCUUUCUUUCUUUUAGUCUUGUUGAUAUAUAUUUUGUCCACCCUCUUUCUUUUAGUCUUGUUGAUAUAUAUUUUGUUUUCAUCUCUUAUUUUUUUAAAGAUUAAAGAUCGAUGUGUAUACUGAGAUUUGACUAUGACUUAAAUAAUUGAAUUUGUUAUAAACUUACGUAUGGUCAAAGAGUGACAAUUAUAUAUAUAGAAUUCAGAUCUCAUAUAUAUAAACCUAGUUUUAAUAACAAAUUUUGAUCCAAAAUUUGGACAAAUUACCAAACUGUCACUUAAAGUUCAGCACUUUUUCAGCUUUGGUCCUAAUUAAUGUGUCAAAAAUUCACAAUUCUGUAGCUUGCAAGUUAAUUUCAAAAUUUAAGCCUUUUGAACAGCGAUGCAAUUUUAUAUUGGGUGAAUCGUAAUUUGAUGAUAUAUAUAUAUAUAUAUAUAUAACCUUUGAAUUAAACUACAUUAAUUUAAAUUAAUUAAAUAAUACGGCCUUUUUUAAUAUUGGUAUAAUAAAUAAGCUAAAAAUACUCUUAUAUCUCCAAUUUCAAUAAUUUGUCGUUUGUACAUUAAAUAUAGUAUUGAAAAAAUAAUAAUCAUAAAAAAGAACAAGUCCAAGUGUAUCUUACGUACAUAUGUUUUACUAAUAAGUGAUAUCUGGUGAAUUAAUUAAUUGCAGGAAGAAGGGAAACGGCUAUGGCAUUGACAUCGUUGAAACUGGGAAGAGGUGCUAAUUUUCAAUCCUCAAAAACUUUGAAGUCUGAUAAUAUAUAUAUAUAUAUAUUCCUCUAAAGACAAUACAUUAAUUAUAUCAGAAAUCAUUUCCUUAAUUUUCACCCUAAAUCCAUAUGAAGUUGAAUAUAUCCGUAGAUUUUUGGUGGAUAUUAUAUUAAAUAACAGAAAAUGAAUAAUAUAUAAUUUGUGUUGAUAUAUAUGCACUGACGAUGGAUAUAUAUAUAUAUAUAUAUAUAUAUAUAUAUAUAUAUGCAGCUAUGUUGAGACUAUUGUGAUGGAGGUCUCUGAGAACGAUGGCAAGUGCAAGUGCGGUACCAGCUGCACCUGUACCGACUGCACCUGUGGCGGCCAUUAAACAUGCAUGCAUAUAUAUAUAUAUAUAUAUAUAUGGAACUAAUUGUGCGUGCAUGCAUGCAUGCAUAAGUUCUAUAUAUAUAUAUAUAUAUAUACAAUAAAAUCAUGUAACUAUUUGAUUAUGGUGAUGAAUAAUUAAGUGUUCGUGUCUGUCAGUCAGUUCUGUAUUCUGUAUUUCCUAAUUCUUAGUCGUAAUUGGGUGUACGUGUUGUUGUGGUCACAACUGUGACUGUCUUGUUUGUGUCAAGUUAAAUUAAUGAAUUGGUAUUAUUAGUAGUACCUCUUAAUUAAUUUUUGUAUGUCAAUAUAUUCCCAUGCACUUUGAC